rnacentral:rRNA from 1 species
UACGGGGGGGGCAAGCGUUGUUCGGAAUUACUGGGCGUAAAGGGCUCGUAGGCGGCCAACUAAGUCAGACGUGAAAUCCCUCGGCUUAACCGGGGAACUGCGUCUGAUACUGGAUGGCUUGAGUGUGGGAGAGGAAUGCGGAAUUCCAGGUGUAGCGGUGAAAUGCGUAGAUAUCAGUCGGAACACCGGUGGCGAAGGCGGCUUCUUGGGCCGUACCUGACGCUGAGGCGCGAAAGCCAGGGGAGCGAACGGG